GAAGCUCUUUGUCUCGGCAAUUGGUGAUAAAAAGGGCUGGAAUAUUGGGAGAAAAUGGGGGUCGUCCUUACUUUCCAAGGCACAUGGAUUUUGGUUGAAGGAACAGGGAGAGCUCACGGCCUUAGGGUGCUACCAGCGUAACUCAUUUUAAUUUUUGCUUUCCGGCUUUGAACGUAGUCUCUGUUGGAGAAUUUUAAAAACAUUACACUGGUGCAUUUAAUUUUGUAGCAGCUGCC
rnacentral:lncRNA from 1 species